rnacentral:lncRNA from 1 species
AGGGCCCGAUGUGGGACUUGAACCUACCAACCGUGCGAUCACGACCUGAGCCUGAGUGGGUUGUGAGAUCACGACCCGAGCCUGAGCCACCCAGGCGCCCCUGUUGGCUUGCAUUUGAAUGUUAGCUAAUUUGACAAUAAAUUAUAUAAAAAAAAAUAAAUGAAUAAAAAUAAAAUAAAAUUUAAAAAAGAAAAAAACAAGAAAAAAGAAAGGCACUAACAAUUGUCCUACCCUGGAAGGAACAGUCCUUCCAGAUUUAGUCAGUGAGGCCCAGAUGUUAAAGCAUCAAAAUACAGAAAACAGGGGCACCUGGAUGGCUCAGUUGGUUAAGCAUCCAGCUUCAGUUCAGGUCAUGAUCUCACGGUUCGUGAGCUCCAGCCCCGCAUCGGGCUCUCUGCUGUCAGCACAGAGCCUGCUUCAGAUCCUCUGUCCCCCUCUCUUCUGCCCUUCCCCCACUCAUUCUCAAAAGACGUCAAUGCGGUUGGUUGUGCAAGGGGAAGACUGCUGUGGGGGUUGGAGAGACUACUGCUCUGGGAGUAAGGCUCAGAAGGGAGAGGGGACAGUUGUCUGCUGCUACUCCCCCACUGGUGGUCUGGAACAGCAGCAGCCAUCCUGUGACCAUGAGGUCACAAGUGUCAGGAGGAACGGUGAAUGCCCAAGACAGGACGGCCGCGCUAAGCGCUGUGACAGAUGGUCUCAUUGAUGGGCGCACUUCAUCACUGUAUCGAAUAGCGGAUCGACUCACCUAUUAGUCACGUGAUAUCAAGGGACUCAAACUUCAC